rnacentral:rRNA from 1 species
CGCGCAGGCGGCCAGGUCAGUCGAAUGUGAAAGCCCCCGGCUCAACCGGGGAGGGUCAUUCGAUACUGCCUGGCUUGAAGAUAGGAGAGGGAAGCGGAAUUUCAGGUGUAGUGGUGAAAUGCGUAGAUAUCUGAAGGAACACCAGUGGCGAAGGCGGCUUUCUGGCCUAUUCUUGACGCUGAGGCGCGAAAGCUAGGGGAGCGAACG